GCGGGACUACCCUUGGGCUGAACCAGAAAGAAGGUGAUCAACCUGAAAGAGUCCAACCAAUCGCAUCAUCUACCUUGAUCCAUUCCGACCUGACAUCCGUUUAUGGCACCGUGGUAAUGAACAGGACUGUUUUGUUCUUGGGGACUGGAGAUGGCCAGUUACUUAAGGUUAUUCUUGGUGAGAAUUUGACUUCAAAUUGUCCAGAAGUUAUCUAUGAAAUUAAAGAAGAGACACCUGUUUUCUACAAACUCGUUCCUGAUCCUGUGAAGAAUAUCUACAUUUAUCUAACAGCUGGGAAAGAGGUGAGGAGAAUUCGUGUUGCAAACUGCAAUAAACAUAAAUCCUGUUCGGAGUGUUUAACAGCAACAGACCCUCACUGCGGUUGGUGCCAUUCGCUACAAAGGUAUCUCCUGAAUUCUUUCUCACCAACUCGCAUUUUCGAAAAAGUGUCAUGAGGCAGAACACUUGUUGCCCUACUUUAACGAUCCAUUCCAGUGACCUGAGGGAACUGAUCUCUUCCUCGACUAAAAUCUCGUUGUGCAGUCCUAAUGAAUUCUCGAAGAUGUUUCCAGCAGCGUCCGUGCUAUGCAGUCACUGGACCCGGGGACUCCCCAGUCUAGGGGCGGGAGGGGCAGGUGUGUAGCCUUCAGGAGAACGGGCGAGAGCAGGCAGGUUUGGCUUUUACUUUCUCCAGA
rnacentral:sRNA from 1 species